AGCGAACGCUGGCGGCAUGCCUAACACAUGCAAGUCGCACGGGUCGUCUUCGGCGUCUCAGUCGCGCACGGGUGUAGCACGUGUGGACGUCUGUUCUCUUUCGGGGUAUAACAGCGGGACUCUACGGCUUACCCCACACGCCCUUCCGGUGUGAGGCCCGCUGUCAGAGGCUCGCCUCGCGUAGUGUGUGUUGCCGGGUGGUGGGCCUGCGUCCGAUUAGCUCGUUGGGGGGGUAGUGGCCCACCAAGGCGUCGAUCGGUAGCUGGUCUGAGAGGGUGAUCAGCCACACUGGGACUGAGACACGGCCCAGACUCCUACGGGAGGCAGCAGUGGGGAAUAUUGGACAAUGGGCGCAAGCCUGAUCCAGCAAUGCCGCGUGGGUGAAGAAGGUCUUCGGAUUGUAAAGCCCUUUUGGCGGGGACGAUAGUGACGGUACCGGAAGAAGAAGCCCCGGCUAACUUCGUG
rnacentral:rRNA from 1 species